GAUGGGAACUGCCCCUCCCUGUUUCCUGGCUGGUUAAAAUCCCAGCUGUCCAGUGGGUAUAGGAACUGCCACCAAGCCCGAUAACCAGAGCUCUGUCUUGGGACCCAUUUCCCUCUGAUCUCCACGUGGGCAGCAAGGCACACAUAUGUACACAAUCAAACAAGUAUGAUUCCAAACACUGUAAACAAGCUCUCCUGGUGCCUGGGAGCAUUCAGGACGCUGGAGCCAAAGGGUGCCCCAGAGGCACCUUGACAGGUGGCAGACACAGAGACACCCUGACGUACACUCUAGCAUCCCCAAGAGGUCCCCUGGUCAGUCGGAAAGGCAGCAUUCUUUGUCUGUGCCAUCCACCUUUUUAAGAAGACCAGUCAAGCGAGUGCCGUGAUUGGCUCCAGUACUCUGGAGGUGGAUGGGAGGGUUAUUGCAGGGGCUGUGCUGUCCAGGGCCACGGGCAGACCUUGUCUCAGAACAACAAAACCCACAGAAACCACAACAGGAAACACAAAAGCCAACUUUCAGGUUGGGUGGCCUCUGUCUAUCAGGUGGGGUGGCCUCUGUCUCCCAGGUGGGGUGGCCCCUGUCUCCCAGGUGGGGUGGCCCCUGUCUCCCAGGUAGGGUGGCCUCUGUCUCCCAGCUGGGGUGGCCUCUGUCUCCCUGGUGGGGUGGUCUAAUCUGACUACAAGUGUAGCUGAGGCUGUGGAGAAUGAACGGGCCAUCUCCCAUGCUGGCUGCAGAUGGCCACACUCCAGGAGCCCCACCAGCCCCACCUUGGCGUCAGCGUGUUGUAUGCUUUGUCUCACUCUUGUUUAAGAAAUGCAGUCCACUGUCUUCCAAAAAAGACAAAAAAGAUUUGUUCUCUGGUGAUUUGUUAUAAAGUGUCUCCCACUCUACAGACAGAUGUCCCUUUGUGCAACCCUCAUAGCAGGAGAAGUCCACCCGGUCCUCUGCUGCAGACCUCUGCUGUGCAGUCCUCUCAUUUUAAUAAAGACGACCUGUGCUGAGUUCUCA